rnacentral:rRNA from 1 species
GACGAACGCUGGCGGCGUGCUUAACACAUGCAAGUCGAACGGAAAGGCCCUGCUUUUGUGGGGUGCUCGAGUGGCGAACGGGUGAGUAACACGUGAGUAACCUGCCCUUGACUUUGGGAUAACUUCAGGAAACUGGGGCUAAUACCGGAUAGGAGCUCCUGCUGCAUGGUGGGGGUCGGAAAGUUUCGGCGGUUGGGGAUGGACGCGCGGCUUAUCAGCUUGUUGGUGGGGUAGUGGCUUACCAAGGCUUUGACGGGUAGCCGGCCUGAGAGGGUGACCGGCCACCUUGGGACUGAGAUACGGCCCAGACUCCUACGGGAGGCAGCAGUGGGGAAUAUUGCACAAUGGGCGGAAGCCUGAUGCAGCAACGCCGCGUGCGGGAUGACGGCCUUCGGGUUGUAAACCGCUUUCGCCUGUGACGAAGCGUGAGUGACGGUAAUGGGUAAAGAAGCACCGGCUAACUACGUG